rnacentral:rRNA from 1 species
AACGAACGCUGGCGGCAGGCUUAACACAUGCAAGUCGAACGGUUGUAGCAAUACAGCAGUGGCAGACGGGUGAGUAACACGUGGGAACCUUCCUAGGGGUACGGAACAACUCAGGGAAACUUGAGCUAAUACCGUAUACGUCCGUGAGGAGAAAGAUUUAUCGCCCUUAGACGGGCCCGCGUCGGAUUAGCUAGUUGGUGGGGUAACGGCCUACCAAGGCGACGAUCCGUAGCUGAUCUUAGAGGAUGAUCAGCCACACUGGGACUGAGACACGGCCCAGACUCCUACGGGAGGCAGCAGUGGGGAAUCUUGGACAAUGGGCGCAAGCCUGAUCCAGCCAUGCCGCGUGAGUGAAGAAGGUCUUCGGAUUGUAAAGCUCUUUUACCAGGGACGAUAAUGACGGUACCUGGAGAAUAACGCCCCGGCAAACUUCGUGCCAGCAGCCGCGGUAAGGCACGACUGU